rnacentral:rRNA from 1 species
GAUGAACGCUGGCGGCGUGCCUAAUACAUGCAAGUAGAACGCUGAAGCUUGGUGCUUGCACCGAGCGGAUGAGUUGCGAACGGGUGAGUAACGCGUAGGUAACCUGCCUCUUAGCGGGGGAUAACUAUUGGAAACGAUAGCUAAUACCGCAUAAAAGUCGAUAUCGCAUGAUAUUGAUUUGAAAGGUGCAAAUGCAUCACUAAGAGAUGGACCUGCGUUGUAUUAGCUAGUUGGUGAGGUAACGGCUCACCAAGGCGACGAUACAUAGCCGACCUGAGAGGGUGAUCGGCCACACUGGGACUGAGACACGGCCCAGACUCCUACGGGAGGCAGCAGUAGGGAAUCUUCGGCAAUGGGGGCAGCCCUGACCGAGCAACGCCGCGUGAGUGAAGAAGGUUUUCGGAUCGUAAAGCUCUGUUGUAAGAGAAGAACGAGUGUGAGAGUGGAAAGUUCACACUGUGACGGUAACUUACCAGAAAGGGACGGCUAACUACGUG